rnacentral:rRNA from 1 species
UGUACAAAGGUAGCAUAAUCAUUUGUCUUUUAAUUGAAGUCUGGAAUGAAUGGUUGGAUGAAAAAUUUACUUUCUUUAUUUUAUAUAUAUAACUUGAUUUUUAAGUCAAAAAGCUUAAAUAAUAAUAAGGGACGAGAAGACCCUAUAGAACUUUAUCAUUUUUUAAGUUAUUAUUUUUAGUUUAUGAUUAAUUUAACUUGAAAAAUGAUUUUAUUGGGGUGAUAAAAAAAAAUUUAUAACUUUUUUUAUAAUUUUCAUUUAUAUAUGAUUUUUUGAUCCUUUAAUAUGGAAAAAAGAUUAAGUUACCUUAGGGAUAACAGCGUUAUCAUCUUAGAGAGUUCAUAUUGAUAAGAUGGUUUGCGACCUCGAUGUUGGAUUAAAUUAAGUUUCAGGAGUAUAAGAUUGAACACUGGGUCUGUUCGACCUUUAAAAUUUUACA